UUGACCUCGGAUCAGGUAGGGAUACCCGCUGAACUUAAGCAUAUCAAUAAGCGGAGGAAAAGAAACCAACAGGGAUUGCCUCAGUAACGGCGAGUGAAGCGGCAAGAGCUCAAAUUUGAAAGCUGGCCCCUUCGGGGUCCGCGUUGUAAUUUGCAGAGG
rnacentral:rRNA from 2 species